UUAGGAUUCGGGGAGUAGUCAGCAGCGGCAAAGAUAAGGCGAUUAUCAUGACGCAUAGUCUUAUAGAAGUACCGUUCCGACGCUGACUUCAUGUAUUUCUGGAUUGAUUCAAGCUCUAUGAGUUAAGUUACCCGUCGAACUUCGCAUACGACCGGUUCUUGGAAAACGGUAACUGGUGCUUGUAUUGCCUAAAAGCACCGAAUGUGGAUCGGGAGGGACCAAAAUGAACUGUAUAAGGUGACGGCGACUGCAUGCUGUCCGGAUAUGUAAUUAGAUACGGCCACGAUAAGAGAAAUCGUGUCGCGCCGCUUUUCCAAAAAACCUUCUGACGAUACUUACUUAUUGGUUCUAAUUUAAGGUCGCCAUGAAGAUCUUGCGUGGAUUUACUUAUACUUAUAUAUUACCUAUCUAUAAUGUGUCCAUAGGCUUUAAUAAUCACGUAACAUCUGUAGGUUCUACUAUCUUACACCAAGGAAAAUUAAGGCAAUAAUCUCUACGGAACUCUUCAAAUAAUAUUCACCGAUCCAAAAGAAAUUUCAGUUUCGCCAUUUGCAAAAAGAAACUCAUGGCGAUAAUGAUUAAAUUGAUAACAGGACCAACAAGACAUUCGUAUAUAAGGUAGCUUUGAAAACGUUUCCAGCAAAUUAACAAGCAAUCGCAAACAACACCUUGUUUGAAGGACCUCAUUUACGAAUUCAGUCAACAAUUGAAAAUAAUAAUGCAACGUAAUACACAAAGCUUUGUUGGAGGUUGCAGCAGCCCUCAGAACUACAAUCAAGGUAGUCGUUUCGGCCUCAACAGACCUCUGCCACAGAACGGCUCCGGUUUCAGCCCAUCUCCUCACAUGCCACAGACGUACCAGCCACAUGGUUGUUUUAUGACAGCCUCGAUGAUUCGUAAACUCAGCAAUCCCAACUCCGGCGACAAAAUUUAACGAACCAUGUUUCAAAUGAUCAUACUAAAGUGAAAAAAAUUGUAGAAAAACUGGAAUCUCUAUUGUGAUAAUGAUAAUACGGCUACUGUUUAAGUUAAAUUUCAUGUGAGUUAUUUUUAGUUUUAAAUAAAUUACGAAAAAAAAAAUGUAAUAAAUAAAUAAUAUAAUAAAUAAA